rnacentral:rRNA from 1 species
GACGAACGCUGGCGGCGCGCCUAACACAUGCAAGUCGAACGAGAGAUGAGGAGCUUGCUCUUCAAAUCGAGUGGCGAACGGGUGAGUAACGCGUGAGGAACCUGCCUCAAAGAGGGGGACAACAGUUGGAAACGACUGCUAAUACCGCAUAAGCCCACGGCUCGGCAUCGAGCAGAGGGAAAAGGAGCAAUCCGCUUUGAGAUGGCCUCGCGUCCGAUUAGCUAGUUGGUGAGGUAACGGCCCACCAAGGCGACGAUCGGUAGCCGGGCUGAGAGGUUGAACGGCCACAUUGGGACUGAGACACGGCCCAGACUCCUACGGGAGGCAGCAGUGGGGAAUAUUGCACAAUGGGGGAAACCCUGAUGCAGCGACGCCGCGUGGAGGAAGAAGGUCUUCGGAUUGUAAACUCCUGUUGUUGAGGAAGAUAAUGAC